rnacentral:rRNA from 1 species
GAUGAACGCUGGCGGCGUGCCUAAUACAUGCAAGUCGAGGGAACAGACGAGGAGCUUGCUCCUCUGACGUUAGCGGCGGACGGGUGAGUAACACGUGGAUAACCUACCUAUAAGACUGGGAUAACUUCGGGAAACCGGAGCUAAUACCGGAUAAUAUAUUGAACCGCAUGGUUCAAUAGUGAAAGACGGUUUUGCUGUCACUUAUAGAUGGAUCCGCGCCGCAUUAGCUAGUUGGUAAGGUAACGGCUUACCAAGGCAACGAUGCGUAGCCGACCUGAGAGGGUGAUCGGCCACACUGGAACUGAGACACGGUCCAGACUCCUACGGGAGGCAGCAGUAGGGAAUCUUCCGCAAUGGGCGAAAGCCUGACGGAGCAACGCCGCGUGAGUGAUGAAGGUCUUCGGAUCGUAAAACUCUGUUAUUAGGGAAGAACAAAUGUGUAAGUAACUAUGUACGUCUUGACGGUACCUAAUCAGAAAGCCACGGCUAACUACGUG